CUGGGGUACAGAAUGGCUAGUUGGGGGGACAGACUGGCUUAUGGCCUCAGGUGCGGGGACAGGGGCAGAUGUGCCUGACUGAAUUGGAGAGGCUUGGGUUCAGCCAGAUUCUGCAUGGGGAGACUUCCCAACUCUCUAACAUUCCUACCCCCCAAAAAAAGAACCUUCUCCCACCCAUACCUAACACCCUCCAGGUUCACUCCUAGGCUCCUUUCCCCUUCCUCAGUGCCUCCAUUAUCCCUGACUCCCCCAAGCCUUUGCACUACUUCUGACAGGUGCAGGAAAUACAGUUCUGUAUUGAAAUUUAAAUGAAGUACUCAAAGUUCUGCAUUAAUAUGUUUGGGAAGAAAUCUAUUUGUCAAAAAAAAAUUGUUACAGACAUACUCGCUGACAGAUAUUUUUAAAUAAAUUACCAAAAUUGAAACUGGCAUGAUUAUAUUGUGUUGUUUUGACAAAUAAAAUAUGCAGAAUUUUGCAGAAUUUUCAAAUACUGUAUGCAGAAUUUUUUAAUCGUUUGGUGCAGAAUUCCCCCCGGAGUACAAGGUGCAUUUCUGUCAGUUGAGGGAUGUCACAGUCGAUUGACCUCUCUAUUGCAUGAGUCAUAUGUCUCUCAUGUACCAUACCAUGCUUCUAGUUUGGUCCUCUUCAUUAUUAACAGUGAUCUGUUAUUAUCUUUGCACCCCAGGCUGUUUUUUCCAUAUGUGAAGAAGAGCUGUCACAAAGACUGGAGCAAAUUUUUGAACCCCUUGAGAUUCCAGUUUCAAAGGAAACCACAAGCCUCUUUGACAGCCAACAGCUGCCCCCUGAGCUGACAAGAGAUAUAAAGAAUCACCUUAAAAAUCUCUAUUUUAAAUAUGGACAAGACUUUUACCAAGCCAAGAUUUGGCCUGUUCUUUCUCCUGAUCUACAGAAGUUUCAGCUACUUGUAAAGUUCACAGCAGAGUGCUACAAAAUUUACUGUUUGUUGCUUCUUCAGAACCCGCCCAUUAAACCUGUGUGGCCCGCAAAUAGAAUUCACACAGAUUUCAUAGAGCAUGUGGACAAUAAAGAGAUAGAAAGUUGUAUGCCAAUAACCUUUCUGUGGCCAGUGCUGACCUAUGGGGGAAAGGUAAUUAGAAAGGGUGUAAUCUAUGAUUAAAAGUCAUGGCUGUUUGGAGUCAAAUUAUACCCCUGUGUCAAAAAGCAAUAAAAAGCAAGUAAAUCUGCA